rnacentral:rRNA from 2 species
GUGCUUGCCCGCUGACGAGUGGCGAACGGGUGAGUAAUAUAUCGGCAACGUACCUGGUAAUGGGGGAUAACUAUCCGAAAGGAUAGCUAAUACCGCAUACGCCCUGAGGGGGAAAGAGGGGGAUCGCAAGACCUCUCGUUAUCAGAGCGGCCGAUAUCAGAUUAGCUAGUUGGUGAGGUAAAGGCUCACCAAGGCAACGAUCUGUAGCGGGUCUUAGAGGACGAUCCGCCACACUGGAACUGAGACACGGUCCAGACUCCUACGGGAGGCAGCAGUGGGGAAUCUUGGACAAUGGGCGCAAGCCUGAUCCAGCAAUGCCGCGUGCGUGAAGAAGGCCUUCGGGUUGUAAAGCGCUUUUGUUCUGGAGGAAAUCCUGGUGGCUAAUAUCCACCGGGAUNACAGUACCGNAAGAAUAAGGACCGGCUAACUACGUGCCAGCAGCCGCGGNNAUACGUAGGGUCCAAGCCCUUAUCGCAUUACUGGGCGUAAAGGGUGCGCAGGUGGUUGAUUAAGUGUGAUGUGAAAGCCCCGGGCUCAACCUGGGAAUUGCAUUGCAAACUGGUCAACUAGAGUAUGGCAGAGGGGGGUGGAAUUCCGCGUGUAGCAGUGAAAUGCGUAGAGAUGCGGAGGAACACCGAUGGCGAAGGCAACCCCCUGGGCUAAUACUGACACUCAUGCACGAAAGCGUGGGGAGCAAACAGGAUUAGAUACCCUGGUAGUCCACGCCCUAAACGAUGUCUACUAGUUGUUGGGGAAUUCGUUCCUUAGUAACGCAGCUAACGCGUGAAGUANACCGCCUGGGGAGUACGGCCGCAAGGCUAAAACUCAAAGGAAUUGACGGNCGCCCNCACAAGCGGUGGAUGAUGUGGAUUAAUUCGAUGCAACGCGAAAAACCUUACCUAGCCUUGACAUGUCAAGAACCCCGGAGAGAUUUGGGGGUGCCGCAAGGAACUUGAACACAGGUGCUGCAUGGCUGUCGUCAGCUCGUGUCGUGAGAUGUUGGGUUAAGUCCCGCAACGAGCGCAACCCUUGUCCUUAGUUGCUACCAUUUAGUUGGGCACUUUAAGGAGACUGCCGGUGACAAACCGGAGGAAGGUGGGGAUGACGUCAAGUCCUCAUGGCCCUUAUGGCUAGGGCUUCACACGUCAUACAAUGGUCGGUACAGAGGGUUGCCAAGCCGCGAGGUGGAGCUAAUCUCAUAAAACCGAUCGUANUCC